UACGGGGGGGGCAAGCGUUGUUCGGAAUUACUGGGCGUAAAGCGCGUGUAGGCGGCCAGGUAAGUCCGUUCUGAAAGCCCGGGGCUCAACCCCGGGAGGCGGAUGGAUACUGCUUGGCUCGAGUCCGGAAGAGGCGAGUGGAAUUCCCGGUGUAGCGGUGAAAUGCGCAGAUAUCGGGAGGAACACCAAUGGCGAAGGCAGCUCGCUGGGACGGUACUGACGCUGAGACGCGAAAGCGUGGGGAGCAAACAGG
rnacentral:rRNA from 1 species